rnacentral:rRNA from 1 species
GCGAAAACUUUACAAUGAUGGCAACAGCGAUAAGGGAACCUCGAGUGCCAGGUUACAAAUCUGGCUGUCGAGAUGCCUAAAAAGCAUUUCAUAGCAAGGGCCGGGCAAGACCGGUGCCAGCCGCCGCGGUAACACCGGCGGCUCGAGUGGUAACCGUUAUUAUUGGGUCUAAAGGGUCUGUAGCCGGCCGGAUAAGUCUCUUGAGAAAUCUUGCAGCUUAACUGUAAGGCUUUCAGGAGAUACUGUCUGGCUCGAGGCCGGGAGAGGUGAGAGGUACUUCAGGGGUAGGGUUGAAAUCUUGUAAUCCUUGAAGGACCACCAGUGGCGAAGGCGUCUCACCAGAACGGACCUGACGGCAAGGGACGAAAGCUCGGGGCACGAACC